rnacentral:rRNA from 1 species
UACGAAGGGGGCUAGCGUUGCUCGGAAUUACUGGACGUAAAGGGAGCGUAGGCGGACAUUUAAGUCAGGGGUGAAAUCCCAGGGCUCAACCCUGGAACAGCCUUUAAUACUGGGUAUCUUGAGUUCGGGAGAGGUGAGUGGAACUCCGAGUGUAGAGGUGAAAUUCGUAGAUAUUCGGAAGAACACCAGUGGCGAAGGCGACUCACUGGCCCGAUACUGACGCUGAGGCACGAAAGCGUGGGGAGCAAACAGG